CAGAAACAGAUCAGUAACACACAGAAACCCUCAGAUGGAGAAUGAGGAGUGUUUUCUACAGUGUUUUUUAGUCUGAUCUGGAUGUGAGUUUCUGGCAGGUGUUCACUCCACCAUGAAUGUGUUUGAGGAGAGUGAGGAGGGAGUCGGUACCUCUGAAGUGUCUAACAAACACUACAGCCAGACUGGAGCUGAGAGCCUAGUGAAGCAGGAGAGACCAGACUCACCUGUACCCAGCCAUGUAUCCAUGAAGAGCAACCAAUCUAUGUUUGAGCCUGAGGUUUUCAAGGAUGGAGACCACUCGGACAAGUCAAUGUAAG